GAUCCAAUCUUAUUAAAAUAACAAAAACGCCUAAACCCAAUUAAACCAAAGAAAGCCCUAAUUUCUUCUGAAACGAUGAAUCCUUCCUCUAAUCUCACGCUAAAGUUUCCAGAAGAAAAGGUCUUCAUCCUCUUGCUCUCUCUCGAUCUCGUUCCUCAAAUCUUUCUUACGAUGAACAAACAACACAAAAGUCUCUCCUCUCUGUUUUUUUUCUCUACGCGAAAACGAAAACGAAAACUCCUCAUCCUCACACUUCUUGGUUUUGAUUGCUUCGCUCAAACAAACAACAACAUGAACAAUACCCUUAUCUCGCAGAAAACCCUAAAUGCCCCAUGACUCUCAUUAUACAUCAGUGGAGAUACAAAUUACAAGAUGAAGCGUAAAUCAAACAGAAAACAACAAAAGAGUCUUAAUCAUCUCACCAUCUCUCUCGAUUUCUCACAGUUUCAAAGCAAAUCAACAUUCAAACAAACACAUAAACCCAAUCCCUAAAUCAAUCCCGAAACCCCAUAUUUCAUUCGUUUGUUCAGAGAUUACAACAUACAGCAACAAUAUUCAAUGGAAACGAAACAGAAAAGAGUUACCAGCUAUGGCCAACGAAUCAGCUUUGGUGGGCUUCAGGAACACUUUCAGCUUUUUGUUUUGGUCAAUUCGGGUAACUUUUGGCUUGGUGCACACAGCAGGCAGCAGACAGAAGGCUUUGGGCAUAGUUUCAGCAGCCACAAUGGGCUUAGCAGCAACAACUUAGGGCCUUUUUAAAGUUUAGGUUUAGGGAUGAUUUUAUGUAACAGCUUGUACACUUAUUUGUAAACAUUUCAAAUGACUAAGAACUUUUAGCAAAAAGUCUUGUAAUUCCUUGUAAUUUUUCAAAUGAAAUUUUGAAUGAA